rnacentral:rRNA from 1 species
AUUGAACGCUGGCGGCAGGCCUAACACAUGCAAGUCGAACGAGUGGCGGACGGGUGAGUAAUGUCUGGGAAACUGCCCGAUGGAGGGGGAUAACUACUGGAAACGGUAGCUAAUACCGCAUACCAUCGGAUGUGCCCAGAUGGGAUUAGCUUGUAGGUGGGGAAAAGGCUCACCUGGGCGACGAUCCCUAGCUGGUCUGAGAGGAUGACCCGCCACACUGGAACAGAGACACGGUCCAGACUCCUACGGGAGGCAGCGGGGGGGAAUAUGGCACAAUGGGCGCAAGCCUGAUGCAGCCAUGCCGCGUGUGUGAAGAAGGCCUUCGGGUUGUAAAGCACUUUCAGCGGGGAGGCGUUACCCGCAGAAGGAGCACCGGCUAACUCCGUGCCAGCAGCCGCGGUAAUAC